AACGAACGCUGGCGGCAGGCCUAACACAUGCAAGUCGAGCGAACCCUUCGGGGUUAGCGGCGGACGGGUUAGUAACGCGUGGGAAUAUACCCAAAGGUACGGAAUAGCCUCGGGAAACUGAGAGUAAUACCGUAUGUGCCCCUCGGGGGAAAGAUUUAUCGCCUUUGGAUUAGCCCGCGUUGGAUUAGGUAGUUGGUGGGGUAAUGGCCUACCAAGCCGACGAUCCAUAGCUGGUUUGAGAGGAUGAUCAGCAACACUGGGACUGAGACACGGCCCAGACUCCUACGGGAGGCGGCAGUGGGGAAUCUUAGACAAUGGGGGAAACCCUGAUCUAGCCAUGCCGCGUGGACGAUGAAGGCCUUAGGGUUGUAAAGUCCUUUCAGCUGGGAAGAUAAUGACGGUACCAGCAGAAGAAGCCCCGGCUAACUCCGUGCCAGCCGCCGCGGUAA
rnacentral:rRNA from 1 species